GACGAACGCUGGCGGCGUGCCUAAUACAUGCCAGUUGAGCGAUGAAGAUUGGUGCUUGCACCAAUUUGAAGAGCAGCGAAAGGGUGAGUAACGCGUGGGGAAUCUGCCUUUGAGCGGGGGACAACAUUUGGAAACGAAUGCUAAUACCGCAUAACAACUUUAAACAUAAGUUUUAAGUUUGAAAGAUGCAAUUGCAUCACUCAAAGAUGAUCCCGCGUUGCAUUAGCUAGUUGGUGGGGUAAAGGCUCACCAAGGCGAUGAUACAUAGCCGACCUGAGAGGGUGAUCGGCCCACUUGGGACUGGGACACGGCCCAAGAUCCUACGGGAGGCAGCAGUAGGGAAUCUUCGGCAAUGGACGAAAGUCUGACCGAACAACGCCGGGUGAGUGAAGAAGGUUUUCGGAUCGUAAAACUCUGUUGGUAGGGAAGAACGUUGGUGAGAGUGGAAAGCUCAUCAAGUGACGGUAACUAACCAGAAAGGGACGGCUAACUACGUG
rnacentral:rRNA from 1 species